GACGUAGGGCGCAAGCGUUGUCCGGAUUUAUUGGGCGUAAAGAGCUCGUAGGCGGUUUGUUACGUCCGCUGUGAAAACCCAGGGCUUAACCCUGGGCUUGCAGUGGAUACGGGCAGACUAGAGGUAGGUAGGGGAGAAUGGAAUUCCCGGUGUAGCGGUGAAAUGCGCAGAUAUCGGGAGGAACACCGGUGGCGAAGGCGGUUCUCUGGGCCUUACCUGACGCUGAGGAGCGAAAGCGUGGGGAGCGAACAGG
rnacentral:rRNA from 1 species